rnacentral:snoRNA from 12 species
GCACCUGAAUCUUUCCCAUUCUCUGCUGCCUCGUGCUGGUGUGGGGACAGACGGUGCUACAACACGAGCAGAGGAAAUCCAGACGGGUUGUUCGCAUUUGUCUUGGGGCCUGUCUCUACAACUCUGCCACACUC